CAAUACACAUGUCCAUGGACAAGAAAUGGGUGUGAGUUUCGACACCGCCAGCAGUCACGAUCAGAUUCUCGCCAGCGAUUACUUCAGUGCAAGAGCCAAUAAUCAUGUUUUGUGUCACAUAUGUCAUCGUAUCAGGAUUACCUGCUUUGCCAAUUCCAGCAAUGAGACCAUUCUUGAUGCCAAUGUCCGCCUUGAUGAUGCCCGAGUAGUCGACGAUCAAGGCAUUCGUGACAACUGUAUCGAGCACAUCAGAAGAAGCACGUCCUGGUGACUGACCCAUGCCGUCA
rnacentral:sRNA from 1 species